AAUUGGCUCAUUUAAGAAUUUCAAAACAUUUAAUGUAAAAGCUUUUUUUUUUUUAAGGAAGUCCAUAAAUUUUGGUUCCCAGGGUUGCACUGGACUUGGAAGGAGUGCUGUUGUGUACAUACUAUUGUAUGGUUUUAUUUAUUAUUUUACUGUACAAAUCAGCCGAAAGAAUUUUUCCAAGUGCCAUUUCGGAUUUAUUAAUCCUUUUUUUUUUCCUUUCCUCAAAGAUAUUUGCUGUUGUCAUAUUAAGCAUUGGAGACUAGAAAAUUACUUUCCCCCUUUGAGCUAGAGGGUCUCUUGCCAACAGAAGGACAGCUGAGAAAGCUGGAUUUAAAGGAUGGUUUUAUCUGUACUUUGCAGUUAACAGUGAUAUUUUGAAGGCACAUUUUUCUGUGAUUCAUUUUUUUUUGGCCAUAGUGCUAACCUUGAAGAGAUUCGUGGCUGGGUUUUUGGUUUCUGAGAAGGUCGUAGUUUUUCCUCUUUUCCUUUUUUUUUCUUUUUUCUUUUCUUUUCUUUUUUUUUAAAGCGGGGGAGGGGAAGAGGGGCUGAGAAAGGAAAUCAUGUUCACUGGUAGAAGUAGAGUGGAGCAUCAGUUACCAGGGUCCUGAGAGCUGGAGGAGAAAGGAUUCUAUCUUCAAGUUGGGAGGCCCUCCUCUCACCUUGCUCAAAAAUUGCAAGCGAUUCAAUCCUGAUCAAGACACCAAAGCUACAGGAUUCUGGAACCGUGGAGACACCGAGAAACCAUGAGUGUAAGGUUACCCCAGAGUAUAGACAGAUCAGCCAGUAAAAAGCAG
rnacentral:lncRNA from 10 species